UGAUACUAAGCCAUGCGAGUCUUUGUAGUAAUACAAGGCAGACGGCUCAGUAACACGUAGUCAACCUACCCUAUGGACGAGAAUAAUCUCGGGAAACUGAGCAUAAUUCUCGAUAGAUCAUAAUGCCUGGAAUGGUUUAUGGUUAAAAUGAUUCGUCGCCAUAGGAUGGGACUGCGGCCUAUCAGCUUGUUGGUGAGGUAAUGGCCCACCAAGGCGAUUACAGGUACGGGCUCUGAGAGGAGAAGCCCGGAGAUGGGUACUGAGACACGGACCCAGGCCCUAUGGGGCGCAGCAGGCGAGAAAACUUUGCAAUGUGCGAAAGCACGACAAGGUUAAUCCGAGUGAUUUCUGCUAAAGAAAUCUUUUGUCAGUCGUAAAACCACUGGCGAAUAAGGGGUGGGCAAGUUCUGGUGUCAGCCGCCGCGGUAAAACCAGCACCUCAAGUGGUCAGGAUGAUUAUUGGGCCUAAAGCAUCCGUAGCCGGCUUUGUAAGUUUUCGGUUAAAUCCAUGUGCUCAACGCAUGGGCUGCCGAAAAUACUGCAUGGCUAGGGAGUGGGAGAGGUAGACGGUACUCAGUAGGAAGGGGUAAAAUCCUUUGAUCUAUUGAUGACCACCUGUGGCGAAGGCGGUCUACCAGAACACGUUCGACGGUGAGGGAUGAAAGUUGGGGGAGCAAACCGGAUUAGAUACCCGGGUAGUCCCAGCUGUAAACGAUGCAGACUCGAUGAUGCAUUGGCAUAAUAGCCAGUGCAGUGUCGCAGGGAAGCCGUUAAGUCUGCCGCCUGGGAAGUACGUACGCAAGUAUGAAACUUAAAGGA
rnacentral:rRNA from 1 species